ACAAAGGCUCUUUUAAGAGCCGCCAACCCCACGAAAAGAGCUGCGG
rfam:Gasterosteus aculeatus cont1.011533, whole genome shotgun sequence.